rnacentral:rRNA from 1 species
AUACGUAGGGAGCGAGCGUUGUCCGGAAUCAUUGGGCGUAAAGAGCGCGUAGGUGGAUCAUCCAGUCUGCUGUGAAAGUCAAAGGCUCAACCUUUGAAAGCCGGUGGAUACUGUUGAUCUAGAGUACGGAAGAGGCGAGUGGAAUUCCUGGUGUAGCGGUGGAAUGCGCAGAUAUCAGGAGGAACACCAAUAGCGAAGGCAGCUCGCUGGGACGUUACUGACACUGAGGCGCGAAAGCGUGGGGAGCAAACAGGAUUAGAUACCCUGGUAGUCCACGCCGUAAACGAUGGGUACUAGGUGUGGGAGGUGUCGACUCCUCCCGUACCGUCGCUAACGCACUAAGUACCCCGCCUGGGGAGUACGGCCGCAAGGCUAAA